GCAAGGUCUAUUUAGUGGUUAAAGAGGAGUUUUGAAGGCAAAACAUAACAUCUAUCGAUACAUGAAUUUCUCAUAGAUAGACACCUUGUUACAUUUUUGAUGCAAUUAGGGAACUUACAAGGAAUAGGGGUUGAACACCUAUCCAUCGAUCCAUUUUCCAUACCGCUUAUCCUCACUAGGGUUGCCAGUGUGCUGGAGCCUAUCCCAGCUAUCAUCGGGCAGGAGGCGGGGUUACACCCUGAACUGGUCGCCAGCCAAUCACAGGGCACCUCUAAACAAACCACCAGUGGCACUCACAUUCACACCUACAGGCAAUUUAGAGUCUUCAAUUAUCCUAGCAUGCAUGUUUUUGGGAUGUGGGAGGAAACCGGAGUGCCCGGAGAAAACCCACGCAGGCACGGGGAGAACAUGCAAACUCCACACAGGCUAGGCCGGAUUUGAACCCUGGUCCUGUCAAUGUGUAAUGUGUGGGGAAACGGUGAAUGCUUUUUCUGCCAUGCGCUGGGUGAAAUUUCAUCAGUGUGCUGAUAAAAUUUGGACAGGACUGAACGAUCGCUGGCAGAGACAGCAUGCAGCAAUGGACUCGAAAAGAAUCAAUGCAGCUGAAAAAGGAUGUAGCAUAGUAUGAAGUUAAAUCUGCAGUGGCUACUGAUGAGAAAAGGAGGUGAUCAGCUAUUUUCUUGUCAACCAUCAGUUUCACCAAAGAAGUUACGAUCAACAUCUCAGAUGAAACAUGUCACCCGUAGCAGGCCACCUAUUCUUGCUGCUGUCUGUGAAAAUAUGUGAUAACGUGGAAUGCUAUGGAAAGCAGAGACAGGAAACAUCAGUGCAAAAAAGCCAACACUGUAUGGCGCAUCGUACCAUGUAUUCUGCGCAGAUGUGAUUCAGCGGCGACUCAUCGCUGGACAAGAGAGAAAGACUCAAAGAAUAGCACCAGUUGGACCUCCAUGUGGGAAUCAAUUUCUGCGCUUAACUUUUCAUGGACUCCUGAUUUUGCUUCUGGACUUACCCUAUUUUUCUAACACCAAAGGACUGAGAAAUGUUUUGAUAAUAAAAACUUUCGAC